ACGGGUUUUCUAUUGUUAAUUUGAAUACCAUGCGUAUUUAAAAUCAUCCAAAUUGACAGACAUUAAGUCUAAAAUUUCGUAGUGUAAGGUUGUAGUAACGUUGAAUGGAAUUUAUAAGUCAAAAUGGAUGAACAUCAGCCACUCACAGACGAAGAAAUAAAAGAAUUCCAGAAGACGUACAGUAUGUUUGACUAUGAUGAAAAUGGAACCAUAUCUACCAACCAGCUAGGGACAGUAAUGAGGGCUUUAGGAUUGAAUCCGUCAGACGGGGAAGUUCAAGAUAUUAUAAAUGAAAUAGACGCUGAAGG